GCAGCCAUAGUUUAGUGAUAAAAUAUUUGCCUUCCAAGCAAAGGAUGAGGGUUUGAUUCCCUUUGGCUGCUCCA
rnacentral:tRNA from 2 species